rnacentral:rRNA from 1 species
GAUGAACGCUGACAGAAUGCUUAACACAUGCAAGUCAACUUGAAUUUGGGUUUUUAACUUAGGUUUGGGUGGCGGACGGGUGAGUAACGCGUAAAGAACUUGCCUCACAGCUAGGGACAACAAUUGGAAACGAAUGCUAAUACCUAAUAUUAUGAUAAUAGGGCAUCCUAUAAUUAUGAAAGCUAUAAGCGCUGUGAGAGAGCUUUGCGUCCCAUUAGCUAGUUGGAGAGGUAACGGCUCACCAAGGCGAUGAUGGGUAGCCGGCCUGAGAGGGUGAUCGGCCACAAGGGGACUGAGACACGGCCCUUACUCCUACGGGAGGCAGCAGUGGGGAAUAUUGGACAAUGGACCGAGAGUCUGAUCCAGCAAUUCUGUGUGCACGAUGAAGUUUUUCGGAAUGUAAAGUGCUUUCAGUUGGGAAGAAACAAAUGACGGUACCAACAGAAGAAGUGACGGCUAAAUACGUG